rnacentral:rRNA from 1 species
UACGUAGGGUGCAAGCGUUAAUCGGAGUUACUGGGCGUAAAGGGUGCGUAGGCGGUUUGGUGCGUGUGAUGUGAAAGCCCCGGGCUUAACCUGGGAAGUGCAUCGCAAACGGCCGAACUAGAGUAGAUGAGAGGGUGGUGGAAUUUCCGGUGUAGCGGUGAAAUGCGUAGAGAUCGGAAGGAACGUCAAUGGCGAAGGCAGCCACCUGGCAUCAUACUGACGCUGACGCACGAAAGCGUGGGGAGCGAACAGG